GCCCCAGACUCCUACGGGAGGCAGCAGUGAGGAAUAUUGGUCAAUGGACGAGAGUCUGAACCAGCCAAGUAGCGUGAAGGAUGACUGCCCUAUGGGUUGUAAACUUCUUUUAUAUGGGAAUAAAACAGGGUAUGCAUACCCUCUUGUAUGUACCAUAUGAAUAAGGAUCGGCUAACUCCGUGCCAGCAGCCGCGGUAAUACGGAGGAUCCGAGCGUUAUCCGGAUUUAUUGGGUUUAAAGGGUGCGCAGGCGGCACGGCAAGCCGGGGGUCAAAUCGCGGGGCUCAACCCCGCCCAGCCGUCGGAACUGCCGGGCUAGAGUGGGCGAGAAGUGCGCGGAAUGCGUGGUGUAGCGGUGAAAUGCAUAGAUAUCGCGCAGAACUCCGAUUGCGAAGGCAGCAUGCCGGCUCCACACUGACGCUGAGGCACGAAAGCGUGGGUAUCGAACAGGAUUAGAUACCCCCGUAG
rnacentral:rRNA from 1 species